UGCCUUUCAAAUUCUUUUUUGUUCCAUGAGGUUCUAAUAUAACUGGCUCCAUCGAUACAGUUAUCAUCCUGUUGUUCUUUGUAGUUCUAUCUCCUCCUCUUAAUUUUCCUGAAUAUUUUAUGUCUGCCUUUUCUGUUGCUUACGCAGUUAACAACAUAUUGUUUUCUUUAUUUUUUUCUAAUUAGCCAUAUUUUGUAGCAGGUUUGUAAAAUCUAACUCCCUCUAUAACUCAGAUGUGAAGAGAAAAUGAAAGUUCUUUAUAGUUCUCUAUUGGAUGUGCCCCUCUGUUUUAGCCCUCUCUCCACUGGUUAACUGGGAAAAAUUUAAAUUAACUCAAAACUUCUUCUCAUCCAAUAGUGCUGACUGCCCGUAUGAAAACAUUCAGUCUUUCCAAAAAAUCGUAUAGUUCCUGACUAGCCGCCCUGCACUUCUCGCUAUGCUGACAUAUGGUGCCUGGUGGUGGGGGUAGAGAAUUAGGCUUUUGAGUCCUCUUGGAAAAAUAAAUAGUCAGAGUCUUCAGUUCAAUGUACUCUGCUUCCUCAGGUCUCCAUGGCAACAUCCCUGGCUCCUGGAUGCUGCUUGCCCUGCUGCUAGGCUGCAUAGCUUCACUCUGUGUCAGGGGACUCAGGAUUCUGUCUCUCGCGGCUUUGUCAGCGACUAGUAGUAUAUCCUAGUUAACCCUGUCCCACCCUCAUGCCUACCGGCCACAGAUCUCUGCAUGACAGCCACAACUCCUUCUUAUCCAGGGGCCUGGUGGUCCACCAACCCCCACGCAGCGCGCAGAAUCACCUGGUGGGCCUGCUGGCUCUCAAUUUAGCUUCUCACCAAAGUCCCCUGAGGGCAGCCAGGAAGGCCAUACUACCAUAAGUUCUCGCUCUUCUGAGCACACUGUGUAGCGACAUUGCUACGGCCACACCUGAGGUUGGUGCAAGAUGAGGCUCGGAGGUGAUAACCUAGUCCUGGAUGCUGGGAGCAGAGCUGCCUGCCCUCGCUGCCUUGCACAUUAGCCUCGACAGCCGUCUGCUGUGAAGCCCGAGGACCCAGACCACCAGUGCCGCGCUGCUCCUCAGAAGAUGAUGCUCUCCGAGGAGUUUCUGACUGGCUCUAAGUGCCCGUGUCCGUAAACGUAAAAUGGGAGUAAAAUAAUCAUUGACCUCGUGGUGUCAUUGUGAAGACUGAAUGAGCAGAUGCAUAUUUGUAGACAUAUAAGUACUUGGAACAGAACCAAAUGCAUAGAAAGUAUUCA
rnacentral:lncRNA from 1 species